rnacentral:lncRNA from 1 species
GAAGUUUCCAAUGGGAUGUUAAGCUGAUUUCAACUACCUGGAACCAUUCUUCAGAAAUAAGAGGCUUUCCAGAAGCCAAGGGUUACUCAGCCUGCCACCCUAUUACAGAUGCGCAGCAGAAGGAAACCUGAAGCCAACAAACAGAUCGUUUACUUUCAUUUCUAAAGAAGAACAACUAAUUUUGGAGAUGGAUGGCGGUGAUGGUUGUACAACAAUGUGAAUGUGCUUGAUGCCGCUGAAACGUAGGCUUGAAAAUGGUUACGGCUCCUAACUAAAGCAUGGAAGUUUCAAGAGAGAUGGCAGGAAUGCAGAGCAAAAGCAAAUCCUCAGCAACCCAAAAGGUGGACAGCUGGUCUACAGAGCAAGGAGAGAUGUCCAUUAGCUCCACAAGUUGACAGCCCACAGACUGAGGAUCCCAGGGGCUCGCAGUUCACGGGCAAGAUGCCCCAUGACCAGGAGAUGAGCAGCAGAGAAGUAAGGGACCCUGGAGACAAACUGAGAGCAUCAUCACAGCUGGACCUACCUAGAGCAUUAGCAAGCAGAUCUACGGAGGAGGGCUUGCAGGGAGAUUAGCCUUGAGCUAACUACUGCCAAUCCUCCUCUUUUUGCUGAAGAAGACUGGCCCUGAGCUAACAUCCACACUCAUCUUCCUCUACUUUAUAUGUGGGGUGCCUACCACAGCAUGGCUUGCCAAGCGGUGCCACGUCCGCACCUGGGAUCUGAACUGGCGAACCCGGAGCCGCUGAAGUGGAACGUGUGAACCUAACCGCUGCGCCACCAGGCCAGCCCCAAGCCUCAUCUUAAUUAAUAUCCUUGAACAUACAAUUUAUACAACUGUCUAUAGCCUAAGAGCAGAACUGCUGAGUCAAAAAGCAUAUAUAUAUAUACUUUGUUUGCUUGUCUUUUUUUUUUAAAUAUUGAUAAUCUUGUUUGACACAAUACACACUUCCAUCAGUAUAAAUGUAUUGGUCUUCUAUUGCUACAUAAUAAAUCAUCACAAACUUAAAAGCAUAAAAGUUUCUAUGGUUCAGGAGU